rnacentral:tRNA from 1 species
UAAGGAGAAGCUUAAUAGAGAAGCGUUGAACUUUUAAUUCAAAGAUGGGAAAUCCCUUCUUAG